rnacentral:rRNA from 1 species
UACGUAGGAGGCGAGCGUUGUCCGGAAUUACUGGGCGUAAAGAGCGCGUAGGCGGCACGGUACGACCGGUGUGAAAGCCCCCGGCUCAACUGGGGAGGGUCACCGGUAACGGCCGAGCUAUGAGUGCAGGAGAGGGAAGUGGAACUCCGGGAGUAGCGGUGAAAUGCGCAGAUAUCAGGAGGAACACCGGUGGCGAAGGCGGGUCUCUGGGCCGGUACCGACGCUGAGGAGCGAAAGCGUGGGGAGCGAACAGG